GACAGAGGGUGCAAACGUUGUUCGGAUUUACUGGGCGUAAAGCGUGUGUAGGCGGCUUUGCAAGUCGGAUGUGAAAUCCCACGGCUCAACCGUGGAAGUGCAUCCGAAACGGCAUCGCUUGAGUCUCGGAGAGGAAGGUGGAAUGCUUGGUGUAGAGGUGAAAUUCGUAGAUAUCGAGAGGAACACCGGUGGCGAAGGCGGCCAACUGGACGAAUACUGACGCUGAGACUCGAAAGCGUGGGGAGCAAACAGG
rnacentral:rRNA from 1 species